CCUACGGGUGGCAGCAGUGAGGAAUAUUGGUCAAUGGACGAGAGUCUGAACCAGCCAAGCAGCGUGAAGGAAGACUGCCCUAUGGGUUGUAAACUGCUUUUAUACGAGAGUAAAACUGUAUACGUGUGUUCUGCUGUAAGUACUAUACGAAUAAGGAUCGGCUAACUCCGUGCCAGCAGCCGCGGUAAUACGGAGGAUCCGAGCGUUAUCCGGAUUUAUUGGGUUUAAAGGGAGCGUAGGCGGAUUGAUAAGUUAGUGGUGAAAUUUUGGGGCUUAACCGGGGAACUGCCGUUAAUACUGGUGAUCUUGAGAGCAGGUGAGGUAGGCGGAAUGCAUGGUGUAGCGGUGAAAUGCUUAGAGAUCACACAGAACACCGAUUGCGAAGGCAGCUUACUAAUCUAUAACUGACGCUGAGGCACGAAAGUGUGGGGAGCAAAUAGGAUUAGAUACCCUAGUAGUC
rnacentral:rRNA from 1 species